rnacentral:rRNA from 1 species
GUCGGUAAAACUCGUGCCAGCCACCGCGGUUAUACGAGAGGCCCAAGCUGACAACACCUCGGCGUAAAGAGUGGUUAGAAAAGAAACAGACUAAAGCCGAAUGCUCUCUAAGCUGUUAUACGCCCUCGAGAAUUAGAAGCCCUAUUACGAAAGUAGCUUUAUACUAUUGAACCCACGAAAGCUAAGAAACAAACUGGGAUUAGAUACCCCACUAUG